UACGGGGGGGGCAAGCGUUGUUCGGAAUUACUGGGCGUAAAGGGCUCGUAGGCGGCCAACUAAGUCGGAUGUGAAAUCCCCAGGCUCAACUUGGGAACUGCAUCCGAUACUGGAUGGCUUGAAUUCGGGAGAGGGAUGCAGAAUUCCAGGUGUAGCGGCGAAAUGCGUAGAUAUCUGGAGGAAUACCGGUGGCGAAGGCGGCAUCCUGGACCGACAUUGACGCUGAGGAGCGAAAGCUAGGGGAGCAAACGGG
rnacentral:rRNA from 1 species